AUCCCAUAAAAAUCUGGAGCUGGUUAGCCGCAAGCAACGCUCAUGAGAGCUUAUAGUCCACAUUAAUAUAGUUGUCAAUCUAAGUUAACUUUUACAUUCAGUGAAUGUGAUGUGGCAAAGACUAGCGGGAGCGGGACAAACGGACGCGCCAGGGAGCUAUGAAGAAGGCCCAGCAAAGUGGUUCUUUCUCUCUGGAAGGAUGUCAGCUCUCUGUGCCUGGCCAUCCCUGAGGACGCUUGAUGUCAUCUUGUCUACCUGAUCAUUACACUACCUGCGCUCCUCUACAAUGCUGCCCUCUCGCUGCUCCGCCACUUGAAAUGCUUGGCUGGCCUCUUCUCUGAAACCAUCAUGAAAUUGUGUGCUAAAACGCUGCAGACUGUUCCUCCUCUCUCCUCCCUUCAGCCGUGUGUGCAGGAGCUAGAAAAAGAUUCCUCCACUCGGGCGACUGCUGCUCAGUCAAAGGGAAAACACACAAAACAUCCUUCAGCCAUCUGCCACCGCUCACCUCUCACAGCUUUUCUUUGAUUUUCUGAUGUUUGAAGUGUAUCAUAUUUCAUACACUACAGCAGUAUCCAAGUAUAUGUAAUGGACACAUACCCAGGUACUUGAAAAAAACUGUUCUGUUUGUAAAUGAUCUGAGAUGAUUUAUUAGAGUCUACAAAUCCGAUUUUAACAUCAUACAAGUUCACUUACUGUGUGUGUUACUGGACACGAGGUAGUAAAGAAUCUGUAAAGAGAUUAUUUUCUGUUUCUCAUGGAAAUCAUGGAAAAUUCUCUUUUCAAAAUACAUUUUACUUAUACAACAAUCAUUUCUCCAUGCAGCUACAAAUGUAAUGUAUUCAUCACAAGAAAUAUGAUAAUGUGGAAGACUGUGUUGUGAACACAUCUUUUUAAUCAACUAGUGAAGACUUACUUGGAGAAUAUAACCAUAUUCAAUACUUAAUUCAUUUAAUUUAUUUUAUUUUUAUGUACUCAACAAUUACAGCAAAGCACAAAUUCAGUAUGAGGAAAAAAAUCAUAUAGUAGAACAAAAUAGUUAGAAUCAUAAAAGACAGACAUAAAAUAGUGCAGCCACUAAAAUAUAGGAAUAAAAACUACUAUAAUAUAAAAUUAAGUAUAAUAGUAAAAUGUACAAACUAUAAUAAUAGUUUGUAAUAUAUGUAUAUAUAUAUAUAUAAUAGAUUGUAGACAGGAUACAUAUACAUAUAAAUAUAUAUACUGAAUUAAUAAAUAUGUCCAAUGAUGGGUAAACAGUAGUAAAUAAACAUAUACAGUAUAAUGUGAUGUGUAUAGAUAUAAACAAAUAAAUAUAUCUACUGAGAUGUAAACAGAUUCUUGUAAAAGCAAAAACAUCCAUAUACUGAUUCUUUAUUCAAGUGGAUUCUUCGUUUCAGUGUCAUCCAUUUGCUUUGUUGCCCUCAAAAGGUACAAUAGGCCUUUUGCACUUCACAAUAGGAAACGCACAAGUAUAUAUAAUAAAACUGUUGUACAUGCUGUCUUAAUGUCACACCAUCAUCGUUUAUGUUUAUAGUAUCACCUGUGCCUUUCCUCCCGUGAGAAAGUCAGUUGGCCUACAAUGUCAGUACCCGAAAGCAUAAGUCGCUGCUUAAAUGAUGUCCCAAGAACUCUGAUAAUCUUUUGGAUAAGAGAAAGUGUCUGUACAUGCAAACAAAAUAUCCUAUCUAUCAUAAUUUCUGAAAAUACUGAUGGAAAUUUUCCUGAAGUAGACUGCGAGAGACUGCGUUCAAAUUAUGUCUCAAUAGGUGUCUCUUAUGUGCAGUUCGAGUACCUUCAAAUGAUCCAGAAGAACAAAUGUAUUAAUUGCAAUUUAAUAAUAAUCUUUUUUUUUAUUUAUUUUUUUACAUUAAUUACAUAACUAUAAUAAAAAUAAAAAUAAAUGUUUGAUAGUUGUUUCUUUCAGUAGUCCUCAGGGAUCCCAGUCGAUUGUCCUUGUAUGUUAAAUGUGUGUUUGGAUGAGGAUUAAAGGAUAGAUUCAGAUUUUUUAAGUCUGUCUUAAAACAAUGGUCAGGUGCCCGCUACUAAAGCCUCAUAUAACCACCAGAUGAACUUUGGGAUACAUUAUUUCACCAAACGAGGAUUGUGGAUUUGGUUUUCCAUCACUUAUACUGGAGGCACAUUAGGAAAUGAGCUCUUACUGGCCAGUAUGGUCAGAAGGAAUGAUAAUAGAAAGCAGAACCUGUUUCAAUGUUCAUAAGGGCACCUGGCUGUUGUUUUAAGACAGACUUGAAAAAUUGUGAACCUAUCCUUUAAUGUAUACAAUAUUUAAUGUCCUAUUUUACACACUUUAUUGAAUUAUAUAGGAAUUACUGUAACUCAGUAAGGUUAAUAACUAACAUUGAUAGUUGAACAUUUUACAAAGUACACCUCACAUGUUGAAUAUAUACUAACAUGUUGAGUGAAAAAUAUUUUUGAACAUUUUAAUUUGGUAAUGGUUGGCUGUCUGUCUCAGCAGCGUUCUGGCUCGCAUUCAUAGUGGAGAGGUAACCGAACACACCCACACACACACAGUAAAGACUUGUGCCUCCUACCUGUCCACUGCACGGUACCUCAGUGCUCUAAAGUGUCUUGCUCAAGACGAGAGCAGCUCAGUGGCAUUUGCAGAGGGAGGGGACUCCUCUAACCAGAGAUUUCUUUCCCAGGUGUUCCCAGCUCAUCCAGGGAUUUGACCCACUCACAGAUGUGCUUCUGUUAUAGGUAGCUGGCCCAGUUCCAUUGCAUGCUUCACAAUAAAAGUCCUAAAAUAAC